GAAAAAUACCAGGAUAGCCUUGCAUGCCUCUGACUUUGUAUUCCUCUUCCCAGGAAGUGAGAGUUCUGGGCCAUAAAUUCCGAAAUCCAGUAGGAAUUGCUGCAGGAUUUGACAAGCAUGGAGAAGCCGUGGACGGACUUUAUAAGAUGGGCUUUGGUUUUGUUGAGAUAGGAAGUGUGACUCCAAAACCUCAGGAAGGAAACCCCAGACCCAGAGUCUUCCGCCUCCCCGAGGACCAAGCUGUCAUUAACAGGUAUGGAUUUAACAGUCACGGGCUUUCAGUGGUGGAACACAGGUUACGGGCCAGACAGCAGAAGCAGGCCAAGCUCACGGAAGAGUCUUGCUCUGCUGCUCAGGCUGGAGUGCAGUGGCACGAUCACGGUUCACUGGGGCCUCAAUCCUACUUCAGCCUCCCGAGUAGCUAGGACUACAGAUGGACUGCCGCUGGGGGUCAACCUGGGGAAGAACAAGACCUCAGUGGACGCCGCGGAGGACUACGCAGAAGGAGUGCGCGUGCUGGGCCCGCUGGCCGACUACCUGG
rnacentral:sRNA from 1 species